rnacentral:misc_RNA from 1 species
CAGUCGAGCUCGGACCUUCGUCGGGUGUGGAGUGCGCGUUGUAUCGUCGUGUGUCAGUGUUCGAAUUAUUCACAGAAAAUCAAGGCCUCGUAGCAUGUCUUGACGAGUAGGAGGUGCUCUUCAACGGGGUUUUCGGCAGACAAGGGUUCUCCAAAAUGGCGGGCGGUCCGCAGCUUCCGGAACAGUACAUGGUACCUCAGCUCGCUAGGUUCUUUCACAGCCUGCCGCACCUCAACGUCUCGCUUCAUUCGGUUAACAACACCUUUAAUCCACAUUCCGAAAUCUAUCUAGAGAGCCUCGGGAUACUCGGAAGUAUCCCAGCAGCCUGGUUAAUCCUGACGUUGCUGGUGUUGCUGGUAUACCUGGUAACGAGAUGCUGUGACCGGAAGCCGCGCCCCAGGAGGUCGAUAACCCUGCUGAAGUGUUCACUGGCCAUCCUGGCGUUGCUUUGCAGCGGAGCUGUAGCCGUCGGCCUCUACGGUAACGACGAUGUACACAACGGUUUGGUGCAAUUGGUGGCUGCCGCGAAGAGCGUCGAUGGUAUUCUCAUGGGUGUACGGAAUCAGACCGAUACCAUCGAGUAUACGCUGAGGAAGAAAAUAUUAGACCAAUUAAUCGACUUGAGGGACAAAUUCGAUGACCCGGCCAGCAACAAGACGAUACUCGAAGUACUGUUGGCCGCUCUGGAAAGCAUGAAACAAAACACGAGCAACGCCCUGAACCGAAGCUCUGAAAUCAAGAAACCCUUGACGGGAAUCAACCUCGCUGGAGCGAUCGGAAUCGCGGAGAAGAUAGAGCAAUUAAGGUGGCCGAUCACCAUGGCAGUCUUGAGCGCUCUUCUAGUUCUUUGCGUGGUGCUAGUUGUCGGUGUCGCGCGACAUUCCAGAUGCGUUCUUAUAACAUUCUCCGUGUUCGGCUUGUUCGCGGUGAUCGUCUCUUGGUUGAUGGCUUCGUUGUACCUUGCGACCUCAGUGGCCUUAGGUGAUCUCUGCGUGUCUCCGGACGGUUACCUGACCAGAGCAGUGCCGUCUACGUUAGCCUCGGAGGUUCUUUCGUAUUACACGCAUUGCGAGAACACGCGUAACAAUCCGUUUACGCAGAGACUAAGAGACGGUCAGGCAGCGAUCACCGAUGCGAGCAAGAACCUGAAUACCGUGACAAAGUUGGCGCUGGAGUUGUUCCCGGACCUACAGUUGCAACCUAAGUUGAACAGCCUUGCAUACGACGUUAACACCGUGAACAAACUUCUGUCAGGGUUAGCCACGUUCCUCGAUUGCAAACCCCUUUACAAGCAAUACGUUCAUGCUGCCAAGAGCUUAUGUCAGUUAGGAUUGUACGGAUUGACCUUCAUGUUAUUGGCGAGCUUAGCCGCGGGUCUCUUCUUCACAGUGUUAGUUUGGGUGGACUCGCACACUUGGAUCUACAUUCGAAAACGGCAGAGAACCACCUUGGACCCCAAGCGUGGCCUCGUUCACCGGUACCCUGUCUCACAAUUCUCAUGGGCCUGCUCACUUGGCCACGUUUCAAGAUUCCCGCAAGACGCAGACUCUGGACCCUAAGAACUUGGCAAAUCUGAAGAGAGGUCCGACCCCGGCUUGGAACCAAAAUCGACCAUUGCCACCGAAUCCCAGCAGCCAGCCUACUUGGGAGUUCGAGUCGCGUUCGCAGACCAAUAUGAACCAAUUCCGUUCUUUGGUGAGAAACAAGGCACCCAACAUUCGCAUACAGGACCAGAUGCAGGACCAGUUCUCUCUCGGUGUGCGAAAGAGAUUUAGUUACAAAGUGUGCAGAGGCUAACGAGACUUUACGUAAGUUUAAGAUUUCUAUGGUGUUUUUGUACGCGAGAAGAGAAGCACUUCAAGCGUGUAUUGUAAAGAGAAUUCUUCGAGAGGCAUAUAUAUAUAUAUAAAGUAAAACGAAACUCGUUAAUCGAUAUCGUUUUUGUGCAUUGCGAUUACGUCUAAUUGCCAUAUUCCAGACUUAAUUCCUCUUAUUGUAAUGGUAACACAAAUAUUAAUGAGAAGAAAAAUAAAAAAACCGUAAGAUCUACAA